CGGGCACAUUCAUGACUAAAUGAGGAAAGUGAAGAAUUGGAGUUUCCAUGCCCUCAAUGUGGUGCUGAAUAUGCUGGAUUCCUGUGCAACCCUAACACUGUCCACCUACAAUGCCAUGCAUGUGGAGGAAUGAUGCCUUCCAGAAAUGAUAUUGGUGUACCACAACACUGUUUAGGAUGUGAUCGGGCAUUUUGUGGUGCUUAUUGGCAUACACAAAGAUUUGGUGGAAGUGACUCUCA